rnacentral:antisense_RNA from 13 species
AGUGUUAUAGUUUUGAAGCGCUAUAAAAGCGUUAUUAGAAGCGCGUUUAACACCCUUUAGAAUUUAUAAAGAUCAAAAACCCACAAAAAAAUGAGAAUUAAAAUUGGAGUGAUAAUGGUGGCCACGACUGGACUUGAACCAGCGGCCACUACCA